GUGCCAGCCGCCGCGGUAAUACAGAGACUGCAAGCGUUAUUCGGAUUCACUGGGCGUAAAGGGUGCGCAGGCGGCCGUGUGUGUUGGGCGUGAAAGCCCGGGGCUUAACCCCGGAAUUGCACCCAAAACUACAUGGCUAGAGCAUUGGAGAGGGUAGCAGAAUUCAUGGUGUAGCAGUGAAAUGCGUAGAUAUCAUGAGGAAUACCAGAGGCGAAGGCGGCUACCUGGACAAUUGCUGACGCUCAGGCACGAAAGCGUGGGGAGCAAAAGGGAUUAGAAACCCCAGUAGUCC
rnacentral:rRNA from 1 species